UACGUAGGUGGCAAGCGUUGUCCGGAUUUAUUGGGCGUAAAGCGCGCGCAGGCGGUGCGGUAAGGCUGCCGUGAAAUCGCCCGGCUCAACUGGGCGGGUGCGGUGGCGACUGCCGGACUGGAGGGACUCAGAGGCCGGUGGAAUUCCCGGUGUAGUGGUGAAAUGCGUAGAGAUCGGGAGGAACACCAGUGGCGAAGGCGGCCGGCUGGGGGUGCCCUGACGCUCAGGCACGAAAGCGUGGGGAGCAAACAGG
rnacentral:rRNA from 1 species